GGAGAGGUGGCCGAGUCGGCCGAAGGCGCUCGCCUGCUAAGCGAGUGAGCCCCUAACCGGGCUCCGAGGGUUCGAAUCCCUCCCUCUCCG
rfam:Flexistipes sinusarabici DSM 4947, complete genome.